rnacentral:tRNA from 1 species
GGGAGUAUGGCUUAGUGGUAGAGUGCUUGCCUAGCAUGCAUGAAACUCUGGGUUCAAUUCCUCAGUACCA